AGAGUUUGAUCCUGGCUCAGAACGAACGCUAGCGGCAUGCUUCAAACAUGCAAGUCGUACGCGAAAGUGGCUUCGGCCAUUAGUAGAGUGGCGCACGGGUGCGUAACACGUAGCUAACGUACCCCCUCGCCGGGGAUAACUCCGGGAAACCGGAGCUAAUACCGAAUGAUCUGUCGGAGUCUGCGGGCUCUGCCGGUAAAGCUCCCUGUCUUUGAUGGGAGGGCGCGAGGGGAUCGGGCUGCGGUCCAUUAGCUAGUUGGAGGGGUAAUGGCCCACCAAGGCAACGAUGGAUAGCUGGUCUGAGAGGAUGAUCAGCCACACUGGAACUGGAACACGGUCCAGACUCCCACGGGAGGCAGCAGUUGGGAAUAUUGGACAAUGGGGGAAACCCUGAUCCAGCAAUGCCGCGUGAGUGAUGAAGGCCUUCGGGUCGUAAAGCUCUUUUAGUGGGGACGAAGGGC
rnacentral:rRNA from 1 species